CUCUUUUCCUCCCUCACCAAAACAAAACGCACGUGCGCGCGGGUUUCGAAAUCCAAAGCCGGUUCCUACUCCCGCAGCUGGAAAAGGGCGGGGCUGCGGGAGAGCGGACCCCGCACCACGUGACCGCAUGCGCCCCUGGGUACAGCUGGGUACUAUGUUCAUAGGUAAAGGUAAAAAGGACAUUGAAGACACCUUGAUAAUACAGCUAAAAGUCUUUAUCCUGAUACAAAGCAAAAUAUUGUACCGAUAAACCGAUAUUACACAGAUCAAGGAUUAGAUGGUCAUUUGCAUGUCACCAAAGGAAAAACUAAACAAAGAGCAUGGAAAUAAAUCACCAGAAAAGUGAACCACUACUAGGCAGGCCAGCCUAGUAGUGUUUAUCUAGAUGCUGUUUUUAUGUUUUAAUAUCUUAAUGUUAAUGUUAUUGAUUUUAAAUUGUAUUUAUAUGUUGAUUGUUUCUAUUGAUUAAAUGUUAUGUUUUAUUUGCUUUGUAUAAUGAGGCACUACAUUGUUGCCUAGAUGUAUGUUGUACACCACUCGUGAGUCCCCUGUGGGGUGAGAAGAGUGGGAUGGAAAUAAAGUUAAUAAAUAAAAAAU